UUCAUUUAAGGGUUGGCAGUGGUAGUGAGGGUAAAUUUCUCUUAGAUUCCCUGUGUACCUGUGGUCUUCUGAAGAAUCUGCUUUCCUCAGAGUAUCGAUUGAACAGGACUCUAAAUGAAAAGGAGAAAGCCUUUAAUUUUUUUCAUGAACUGUGUGGUUUUGGGUUUUGACUUACAAAUCAUCUAUAUCAUGCUCUAAAAACAGAAUAUUAACUUCUUCAUAACCUUUUCAGGUUUCUCAGUAGUAUAGCACAAGCACGGUUUGGGCAAUUUGUUGUUAAAAUUCUCUGUGCGAGGAUCUUGAUUUGUACCUUGCAAAGGGAGAAGGAAACUACAUCUCCCGGUGGUUUUGGCUGCAACUGUGAACCCUGUGUUUUAACAGCUCAGACCUUCAAAGAUCAAGUAAGAUCUCCACAAAUCCUGGCUGCCUGUCAAGAACACACUUUGAAAUUACUGGAUUGCCAUAUAGAAGAAACCAGUAGAGAAUCCACUUUUACAGCUCAGCAUCCAGCCGUCCUCACAUUUGAAAGGUGUCAGCUGGCCGUUAUUGCUACAGUGGUGUUAUGGACUGAUGCAUCUCUAUAGACCUGGACAACAUUCAUCUUACAUCCUGACAGGAGAAGAUUCUCAUAGACUGGUGUGUGAUCACACACUUAACACUUCUGCUGAGGAUAGAUCUUGAUGUUAAAGUGUGAAGAAAUACUUAUAAAGUGGAAAAUCACCUUUUCUAGUUGCUUAUGUCCUUCAUCUGCCGUAGAAGAACAGUCCAGCCUGAGCUGAACAUUUGACUCUGAAGUCAUCUAAAGAAAGCCACAGCCUUUGCUGGAUGCUGCAGAAGCUCACCACUGAGAAUUUUGGAGCGAUGGAGCUGGGAAGCUUUCAGAUUAAUGGGACAAAACUGGAAAUAAAAGUGUUAAAAGUCAGGCUUGCAGAUAAGUCUUGUGUGAUUCUAUCCGUAUUAUGAGUAUUAGCAAAAUCCUGAUGUACAGAAAAAUUGUGCUAGCAGCAGUGCCCUGGGAAGCUGAAGGCUUCUAGUCAUAUUGCAGUACAACUCAGGAAGCAGAUAUAAUUCCAUUGACUUAAUUGUCCACUCUUUGAAUAUAAGUGGGUAUGUUCUAGGGCUGUCAUCUACUUGAAUGCUGCUUGCCUGUUUACUUUAAUGUUGCAUCAGAUUGUUACUAGAAAGAGAAAAUUCACCUCGAUGAGAUCUCCACUUUCUACCAACCCUUUGUUAAACUCAUGAGAGGAGUGAAAAUACUAAUAAAGAGAAAAGGAUUCUGUUGUCACACAGGAAUUUAUCUGAAGUUUCUAGACUUGGUUUCAGUCCUCCAGAUGGGAUCUGCACAGAUGUGCUAGUGAGAGACAGAAUUAUAGACAGGAUUUACUUAGUCUUCUCAGUUUUGGUUUCUGUGCCUCGUUAUUUCAAAAGAGGGAUGAUUAGGUCAGCUGCUGGGGACACUUGUAAAGGAAGUUCUGCAGCUGGAGCAGGAGAGAAAGUCAUAGCCAGGAGCUGAUGAGGCUGGGAGACUGCUAGAAGCAUGGUACAGAUGUCCUUUGGGAUUUCUUAAUUAGACAGGUGAUUGUCAGAGAUCAGAAUAGGCUUUGGCGUUGAAUAGUCUGAUACCUCACAGGCCUCAUUUGCAAGAAGGAGGGGGUAAAAGGAGAUUUAGUUUUAUAUGUGUGUAUAUAUAUGCAUAUGUAAUAAUAUAUAUUGUGUUGUGUCUCUGAAAGAAA